rnacentral:misc_RNA from 1 species
GAUGAAGAACGUAACGAAAUGCGAUAAGUAGUGUGAAUUGCAGAAUUCAGUGAAUCAUCGAAUCUUUGAACGCACAUUGCGCCCCUUGGUACUCCAUGGGGCAUGCCUGUUCGAGCGUCAUUUACACCCUCAAGCUCAGCUUGGUGUUGGGCGUCUGUCCCGCUUCGUGCGCGGACUCGCCUCAAAUGCAUUGGCAGCGGUCUUGCCAGCUUCUCGCGCAGCACAUUGCGCUUCUAGAGGCUUUGGCGGAUCGGCGUCCAUCAAGUACACCCACAGUUUGACCUCGGAUCAGGUAGGGAUACCCGCUGAACUUAAGCAUAUCAAUAAGCGGAGGA